rnacentral:lncRNA from 1 species
AGGCCUUAUGAUGGAAGCAAAGAAGGUCCUUAAGACUUAAAAAUCUAUCUGAUCCAAACCCAAAUCCAGUUGCAACACCAUCAGCCUUGUCGAUUCCUACCCAGAAAUUUCAUUGUUGUCACCGAUGAGAAAAAAAGUUCUCUUCCCAAACAAUAGCUUUGAAACACUUUACAUUACACACGGAAAAAUAGAAAAAAAAAAGUAUCUUAUUUGGUAUCUAACAAUAAAAGCAACAUAAAUAAAAAUAACACAAAACAAGGAAGGUGCAUGCAACAUCAAAUAGGUUGAGAGAACAAAAUGACUUUUACAAUCAAGUUUCCCUUCCAUCCAUCGAUCCAAAGAAGGAGAAAUUCAUACAAAAGUGCCGAGAGAGAUCAGAGUGAACGAAGCUUUUCUAUUCUUUGUCGGUUGAAAAAACACUAUUAUUAGUACGUUCUCCACUAGCAUAACACAAGAAAAAACAAAUAUGCGGAAACAACCCAAACUACCCGACAAGAAAAUAGAUACUCCCUCACCAAAUACCACUCCUGCCAAUAAUCACCAACAAAAGAAAUGUUUACACCUUCCAAGUGGGUAUGGAGAAAAUCCACUUUUGAGUAAGAUGGAGAGAGCCACUUUUGCCUGAACUUUGCCUGAACGAAAUAGAGAUGGUCGCAAAGCUGAUAAAAACAAAGGCCCUUCCCUUCACAUGAAGAAAAUGAAAAAGAGAAAAUAGAGGGAUGCCUAAAAUUGACUGGGCCGGUUAUAACCUUCUAUGCUGUGAGGCAACCCUUUAUUUACUUUCCAGAUUAGGAGUUGUAAUUUUUUUUUUAAGGGCUUAGUAUAGCGCCAUGCUAUUGAAAGACGUUGGAAACCUAAUUAGGGACCCAGGAACAGGCACAAAUACAGGGUUUUGUUUCCGGAGGUCCCCAUGAGGCAGCUACAGUUGUAGUCUGCAAAAACAAACAAAAGCUAAAGUUCACAUGUGAACUGUAGUGUUUAUACUUUCUUCCCUUUGCAUAAUCCAAACUUUUGGCUCCAUCAUCAGUCGUCUCAUCCCCACCCUCCCCAUCAUUUGCUUUGUACAUUUCUGUGCGUCACCUAAGCUUAAAUAUUAUAAUUAUUCAUAAUCAACGUAAGCUUAUAAAAAAAAAAACAUUUGUUUAUUCAUUAUUUUUUAGCCUCAAGAAUUAUAAUGAAAUGGUAUCAAUCCAAAAAGGAAGUGGAGGACAGAUUUGAUGAUGAUGGGUUUCCCUUUAGAAUCAAUCCCGUGAAGGCUAAAGUUUGAGCUGCCACCUUUUCUUUACCUUUUUCGUUUCCUUUCUCCGAUGCUUCCUCAUCUCGUCGCCUAUACGUAGAAGUCGAAGAGCCAUUUCUUUUUCUACAUAUUAGAAGAAAUACCCAUGUUCAAUCUCUAUCCAGAGGUCUUGGGAUAUUAAGAGAUUUGUAGUUUGAGAGUCCCUCUCAUUGCUUUCAAUGCAAGGUGGCCUUAUAAUAAAUUUUCUUUGUCCUUAUAAUAUACCAAGUUUUCUGUUUGUCAUUGGAAGGGAAUAUUUGCAUUAAGCACAUUUGUCUUCUCUUAUCCUUCUUUCUCUUCACACCUCCAUUCAUCAAAUUCAGUAAUUUUUUCAUUAUUUGCAUGCUUUUUUCUCAUUUCCAAGGGCAUUUUUGUCUCUGCAAUUCGCCAACCUAUUCAACAAACUAUGAUAAAAAUACACAUAUAAAUUGAUUAGUGUUAAUUUGCCCUUCCCAUUUCCCUAUACCAAGACUUUCUCUUCCCAAAUGAAAAAGGCAUCGCCUCAAGAUUCUGUCCCUUUCCCUGGAAAAACAACGCAGUUCGCUGCUGAAUGCUGGUUUGACGACGCAUGCAUCCUCAAUAUGGACUAUUUCGUUAAGACAUUAGCCGGCAUUAAGCCUAAGGGUGUCCGUCCUGAUCUUAUUGGCUCAAUCAUAGCUCACUACGCCUCCAAAUGGCUACCUGAGCUAUCUGGUGACGAUGCUUGUGACAGAGGAUUAACCAAUUUCGAAGAAUCACCCGAAAGUGUUACAGCCUCAUGGAUGAAGAAGAGAUUUUUUGUUGAAACUCUAGUGGGUGUCUUGCCUCCGGAGAAGGAUUCAGUUCCAUGCAACUUCCUGCUUCGCCUUCUCCGGACGGCAAACAUGGUUGCAGUGGAGCCAACAUAUAGAGAAGAGCUCGAGAAGAGGAUUUCAUGGCAGCUUGACCAAGCUUCAUUAAAAGAGCUAAUGAUACCAUCUUUUAGCCACACUUGUGGGACUUUACUAGACGUUGAGCUAGUGACACGAUUAGUGAAGAGAUUUGUUAAUUUGGAUGAAGCAGCUAAGAGUGGAGCUGCUGCUUUAGUUAAGGUGGCUAAGCUUGUGGAUUCUUACUUGGCAGAAGCAGCAGUGGAUGCUAAUUUGAGUUUGCCAGAGUUUGAUGAUCUUGCUUCUGCUCUCCCUAGCCAUGCUCGAGCUAUUGAUGAUGGUUUAUACAGAGCCAUUGAUACUUACCUCAAAGUAAGUGAUGCUCUGCAAAACUCUGUUUUUUUCUAUUUCUAUACACUGUCUCUGUUUCUCCAUUAGGCACCCUAGAAAUUGCAGUCUUGUUCAUGAUUAACAAAGAAUUUGAAUUAAGGUUGAAUUUGGCAUUCUGAAUCCCAGAGCUAUAAUUUUUGGGUUAUGGGUAUUAAUUAUUUAUCAAUUUUUUCAUGUUACAAUGAUUAAUAGAUUUUUUGAUAAGCGAGUAACUUAUUAGUAGAUUUUUUUAUAUUAUAGUAAAUAAAUAAUAAAUUUUGUUAAAAAAAAGAGAAAAAAAAAGAAGAAACUAAAUAAUAAAAUUUUCAAUUAGAAAGGGAAAAGAGAAAAAAAAGGAACACCAUCUGGGACCAAGAAGUGUCAGUAGCUGUGUAGUCACCAACCUGAGAUUCUUUGAUUCAGAACUAUUUUGGUGGUGGGGUUGGGUUUUGGCAGGGACAACAGAGAGUAAAUUGACGUCCAUGCCCUUUAUCUAGGGCCUGUUAUUGGUUUUGCCUGUUGGUGGGCCUUUUCUUUUUGUGUGGUCAUAGUAACAUGUGUGUGAGGUAGCGUCAGAUGUGUACCUUCAAUUGCAUUGAUUCAAUCGUUUAGGUAAUAUUUGUUUUAUCUUCACUCUGUCCUUCAACAUUUCUGAGAUCCAGUAGCACAAAUCACCACGAACUUUGCGUACAUGUACAUUGCUUACCUUCACUGUUUACCAUUUAUAAAAAUAUAUCGAAACACCUUAAAUGAAUAACUAACCUUGGAAUGAUAAACUGUGUCUUGCUAGGCACAUCCUGGAUGUACAAAGCAAGAAAGGAAGAUUCUUUGCAGAU